rnacentral:rRNA from 1 species
AGCUUAAUGAUAACUAUAUAUUAGGUAGGUUCUGCUCAAUGAUGAUAUUAAAUGGCCGCAGUACUUUGACUGUGCGAAGGUAGCAAAAUAAAUUGGCUUAUAAUUGAAGUCGGGGAUGAAUGAAUUAAUGGAUAUAAGCUGUCUUAAAUAAGUAUUAAUUAAAUUACUUAGUAAGUGAAAAUUCUUACAAAUAUUAUAUUAGACGAGAAGACCCUUGAAAUUUUAACAAGUAUAGUACUAUUACUAAUAAGUUUUUGUUGGGGCGACAAAUUUACACUAUAACUAAAUUUAUCACUUAAUAAUAAUACAAAUUUUAUUAAUUAGAAGUAAAUUACUCAAGGGAUAACAGCAUAAUUUAUAAAUAAGUUUGUGACCUCGAUGUUGGACUAGGAAACUUUAAGUUUAGAAGAUUUUAAGUUAAGUUCUGUUCGAACUUUUUCUCCUACAUG